rnacentral:rRNA from 1 species
UGGGGAAUAUUGCACAAUGGACGGAAGUCUGAUGCAGCAACGCCGCGUGCGGGAUGACGGCCUUCGGGUUGUAAACCGCUUUUUCUCAUGACGAAGUUUUUUGACGGUAGUGGGGGAAGAAGCACCGGCUAACUACGUGCCAGCAGCCGCGGUGAUACGUAGGGUGCGAGCGUUGUCCGGAAUUAUUGGGCGUAAAGAGCUUGUAGGCGGUUUGUCGCGUCGAUAGUGCAAACUCAGUGCUUAACGCUGAGCCUGCUGUUGAUACGGGCAGACUAGAGGAAGGUAGGGGAGAAUGGAAUUCCCGGUGGAGAGGUGGAAUGCGCAGAUAUCGGGAGGAACACCGGUGGCGAAGGCGGUUCUCUGGGCCUUUCCUGACGCUGAGAAGCGAAAGCGUGGGGAGCGAACAGG